AGUGCUCCAGGAUCCUGGCACCUUACAAUCUGUCUGCUCGGGAAAAACCCAAGGAGGCAGUCCCAUAUCUGCAGAUACCAGUGGGAGCGUGAACCAACCCUACAUUUUCAUGUGCUCUGGACAAAAUCUGUCCAUGAACAGCAGGUCCCUGGAAGAGUCCAAAUGUUUGGCAGACUACCAUGUGGAAGGCAAAAGGAAGAGUUCAGCUAGUGCCAGGCUCUGAGCAGCAGCAGGAAACUAAGAAAUUUGAAUUACAAAAUCAACCAGCUGCUCUUAACUGAUGCAGCUCCUUGAAAACUUGAUUUGCUUACCUUAUCCCUGGCACCAAUGGCUGUUAGCAUGAUCCUUGACAUCAGAUGACCAUAGGUACUACAGCUUCAGGCGCUGUUUCUGGAGCAAGCUGGAGCAAUUACUCUGCCUGAAGAGAAGGAAUUAGUCAUAGGUUUAAACACAGUAGUGAAUCCAGCCUACCUGGCAACAAAGAGAGCUAAGCUUGGGAAGCAUCACUUGCAUUAGGGCCCUAACCUGUGGUCAUGGUCUCAUGCUCCAGACUAAAUGUUGGCUUAGCACUGUUGUUUGACAUCAUUAUUUCUGCCUGUCUGGGAAAAGCUAAGGUCUAAUAAAUACACUGAAUUCAUGAGA